AGAUGCCCAAAUUCCCUUGUAUGAACAAUUAUUGAAUUUAAAAGUGAAUAAUCUACAAACAGCAAUAUGAAUUAAGUGGCAAGGAUAGCACGGAGCACAUCACAAAUAUGCAUGGCUCAAGAGUUAUAGCAUCAUAAGAAAAAAAAAAUGGAAUAAGCAACAAAGUCAACAAAAUAUUUCAAAAAUAUAACAAAUUGAGUAAUUGAUAAUAGUCUAUUACUUGUUAAAGACUAUUAUUCAAUUUUCUAAAGACUAUCAAAGCACUGUAUAUAUAACUUGUUUGUUGCAUCAAACUUCAAGAAGUAGUAAAAGGACAGAAAAAAUAGCAGUAAAAUGUGACAGGUUAGUUGGGAUGGAUUUUGUAAGCAAUGGUGGGCCACUAAUCCACAUCUGUUGUUCCAAGUCCAACAAACAUAAUAUUUUUUGGUUUCUGGUACAAAUACAUGCAGAGAUAUAAGUGUGACAGAUGCAGGGUUUUGUACACACCUAGACUGAGAUGGAAGGAGCUGAUAUUCUAUGAGCAUACCAGAACAGGGAAUGAGGGAGUGAGGGAGAGAGAUGGAGGUGAUAUGCUGGACUGGUUUAGAAGUUAGAGAAAGAAAGAGAGGAAGGAGAAGACAAGGAGAAAGAGGAUGAGGGACUAAUCCACAAACAUCUGUUUGUUCCAAGUCCAACAAACAUAAUAUUUUUUGGUUUCUGGUACAAAUACAUGCAGAGAUAUAAGUGUGACAGAUGCAGGGUUUUGUACACACCUAGACUGAGAUGGAAGGAGCUGAUAUUCUAUGAGCAUACCAGAACAGGGAAUGAGGGAGUGAGGGAGAGAGAUGGAGGUGAUAUGCUGGACUGGUUUAGAAGUUAGAGAAAGAAAGAGAGGAAGGAGAAGACAAGGUGAAAGAGGAUGAGGGACUUGCUUGGUGAUCCAGUGCUGGGCUCUCCAGAUCACGAGAAUGAUGGAUGGAAUGGCAUGGGAUCUGUACAAAGGAAAACUAAGAUAAGGAGAAAGAGGAUUAGGGACUUGCUUGGUGAUCCAGGGCCGGGCUCUCCGGAUCACGAGAAUGAUGGAUGGAAUGGCAUGGGAUCUGUACAAAGGAAAACUAGAGCUAGAGAUAAGGGGAUGGGUUCUCCACAAAGGAAGGAAAACAAGAACAAACGACCUUAAUUGAUGAUACCUUAAAAUCAAAUAUUUGGAAAUACAAGUUGCAGCACAGGCUUAUCAUAUAACUCAAACUAUGUCAUGUCAAUGCAACUACCUCUUGUCAAAAAACCAUAAUUCAAUGUGCUGCAACCCAACAAGCCAGCAGUUGGGUUGCAUCAAACACAGGUCCACAUACUAAUGUUCUUUUGGCAGCCCCUUCCUGACUGCAAGCUUCAGCUGUUAUUUCAUGUUAUCUUAAUGGUUGCUGUACCUCUAUAUUCUUCUAUUAACUGCUGCUGCAUUUUCUGCUAACUGGAUUUAUUUGCAUAGAUUUAAACUGAGGAUCAGACCUCUCAUAUGAAGAUUUAACUCCUUUUUUUGUUUUGUGAACUUCAUUGUUCAUCCCUUUUGACUGUAUUGGCAUGCUAGUGCAUCUCCUUUAUUUGAAAGAGGUACUGGUGCAUGUCUUCGAAGUUUGCAAGGCACAGACUGUACCUGCUGUUAUGGACAUUUUGCAUAUUAACCUUGUUUAGAUGUUAAUUAUAGAAGGUUUCUUAUCUGAGAUUAUAAAUCACGAUAACAGUACCUUAAAGCCUUUAAAUGG
rnacentral:lncRNA from 1 species